AUUGAACGCUGGCGGCAGGCCUAACACAUGCAAGUCGAACGGUAGCACAGAGAGCUUGCUCUCGGGUGACGAGUGGCGGACGGGUGAGUAAUGUCUGGGAAACUGCCCGAUGGAGGGGGAUAACUACUGGAAACGGUAGCUAAUACCGCAUAACGUCGCAAGACCAAAGAGGGGGACCUUCGGGCCUCACACCAUCGGAUGUGCCCAGAUGGGAUUAGCUAGUAGGUGGGGUAAUGGCUCACCUAGGCGACGAUCCCUAGCUGGUCUGAGAGGAUGACCAGCCACACUGGGACUGAGACAUGGGCCAGACUCCUACGGGAGGCAGCAGUGGGGAAUAUUGCACAAUGGGCGCAAGCCUGAUGCAGCCAUGCCGCGUGUAUGAAGAAGGCCUUCGGGUUGUAAAGUACUUUCAGCGGGGAGGAAGGCGGUGAAGUUAAUAACUUCACCGAUUGACGUUACCCGCAGAAGAAGCACCGGCUAACUCCGUGCCAGCAGCCGCGGUAA
rnacentral:rRNA from 1 species